rnacentral:rRNA from 1 species
CGGGAGGCAGCAGUAAGGAAUAUUGGACAAUGGGCGAAAGCCUGAUCCAGCAAUGCCGCGUGUGUGAAGAAGGCCUGCGGGUUGUAAAGCACUUUCAGCAGGGAGGAAAAGCUUACGGUUAAUACCCGUGAGUGUUGACGUUACCUGCAGAAGAAGCACCGGCUAACUCCGUGCCAGCAGCCGCGGUAAUA